GGACUGGAGGCAUUCUGCAAGGUACACAUCUCGUGCAUGGAUUCACUGGUGGAUGGCGACACAGCGAAAGAGACGUACAUGCUGUACUCGCCUAAGGACUUCACUCCCGUUCAAUUCCAAGGCGUCAAAAAAAUUCUCGUAAAACAACAUUUCAUAAUAUCCUUUUGUGCCUUAUUUCGCUUUCUUUAAAUGGAGGUUUACGUAUCUCCUAGAGGGAAAGCAUUGUGUACUAGCUACGCAACCAUACCAAUAUGGAAAGUCAUAAAUUAUUUUUUGGUAGCACAUGUUACAGAAGAAAUUUGCAAGAUGGCGAACCAAUUAAAAAUCUGUCAUACCAAUUA